UGCAAGUCGAGCGAAUGGAUUAAGAGCUUGCUCUUAUGAAGUUAGCGGCGGACGGGUGAGUAACACGUGGGUAACCUGCCCAUAAGACUGGGAUAACUCCGGGAAACCGGGGCUAAUACCGGAUAACAUUUUGAACUGCAUGGUUCGAAAUUGAAAGGCGGCUUCGGCUGUCACUUAUGGAUGGACCCGCGUCGCAUUAGCUAGUUGGUGAGGUAACGGCUCACCAAGGCAACGAUGCGUAGCCGACCUGAGAGGGUGAUCGGCCACACUGGGACUGAGACACGGCCCAGACUCCUACGGGAGGCAGCAGUAGGGAAUCUUCCGCAAUGGACGAAAGUCUGACGGAGCAACGCCGCGUGAGUGAUGAAGGCUUUCGGGUCGUAAAACUCUGUUGUUAGGGAAGAACAAGUGCUAGUUGAAUAAGCUGGCACCUUGACGGUACCUAACCAGAAAGCCACGGCUAACUACGUGCCAGCAGCCGCGGUAAUACGUAGGUGGCAAGCGUUAUCCGGAAUUAUUGGGCGUAAAGCGCGCGCAGGUGGUUUCUUAAGUCUGAUGUGAAAGCCCACGGCUCAACCGUGGAGGGUCAUUGGAAACUGGGAGACUUGA
rnacentral:rRNA from 1 species